UGUUUCGGCAAGGGGGUCAUCCCGACUUACCAACCCGAUGCAAACUGCGAAUACCGGAGAAUGUUAUCACGGGAGACACACGGCGGGUGCUAACGUCCGUCGUGAAGAGGGAAACAACCCAGACCGCCAGCUAAGGUCCCAAAGUCAUGGUUAAGUGGGAAACGAUGUGGGAAGGCCCAGACAGCCAGGAUGUUGGCUUAGAAGCAGCCAUCAUUUAAAGAAAGCGUAAUAGCUCACUGGUCGAGUCGGCCUGCGCGGAAGAUGUAACGGGGCUAAACCAUGCACCGAAGCUGCGGCAGCGACGCUGAUGCGUUGUUGGGUAGGGGAGCGUUCUGUAAGCCUGCGAAGGUGUGCUGUGAGGCAUGCUGGAGGUAUCAGAAGUGCGAAUGCUGACAUAAGUAACGAUAAAGCGGGUGAAAAGCCCGCUCGCCGGAAGACCAAGGGUUCCUGUCCAACGUUAAUCGGGGCAGGGUGAGUCGACCCCUAAGGCGAGGCCGAAAGGCGUAGUCGAUGGGAAACAGGUUAAUAUUCCUGUACUUGGUGUUACUGCGAAGGGGGGACGGAGAAGGCUAUGUUGGCCGGGCGACGGUUGUCCCGGUUUAAGCGUGUAGGCUGGUUUUCCAGGCAAAUCCGGAAAAUCAAGGCUGAGGCGUGAUGACGAGGCACUACGGUGCUGAAGCGACAAAUGCCCUGCUUCCAGGAAAAGCCUCUAAGCAUCAGGUAACAUCAAAUCGUACCCCAAACCGACACAGGUGGUCAGGUAGAGAAUACCAAGGCGCUUGAGAGAACUCGGGUGAAGGAACUAGGCAAAAUGGUGCCGUAACUUCGGGAGAAGGCACGCUGAUAUGUAGGUGAAGCGACUUGCUCGUGGAGCUGAAAUCAGUCGAAGAUACCAGCUGGCUGCAACUGUUUAUUAAAAACACAGCACUGUGCAAACACGAAAGUGGACGUAUACGGUGUGACGCCUGCCCGGUGCCGGAAGGUUAAUUGAUGGGGUCAGCGCAAGCGAAGCUCUUGAUCGAAGCCCCGGUAAACGGCGGCCGUAACUAUAACGGUCCUAAGGUAGCGAAAUUCCUUGUCGGGUAAGUUCCGACCUGCACGAAUGGCGUAAUGAUGGCCAGGCUGUCUCCACCCGAGACUCAGUGAAAUUGAACUCGCUGUGAAGAUGCAGUGUACCCGCGGCAAGACGGAAAGACCCCGUGAACCUUUACUAUAGCUUGACACUGAACACUGGUCCUUGAUGUGUAGGAUAGGUGGGAGGCUUUGAAGUGUGGACGCCAGUCUGCAUGGAGCCGUCCUUGAAAUACCACCCUUUAAUGGCUGGUGUUCUAACGUGGGCCCGUAAUCCGGGUUGCGGACAGUGUCUGGUGGGUAGUUUGACUGGGGCGGUCUCCUCCUAAAGAGUAACGGAGGAGCACGAAGGUUGGCUAAUCCUGGUCGGACAUCAGGAGGUUAGUGCAAUGGCAUAAGCCAGCUUGACUGCGAGCGUGACGGCGCGAGCAGGUGCGAAAGCAGGUCAUAGUGAUCCGGUGGUUCUGAAUGGAAGGGCCAUCGCUCAACGGAUAAAAGGUACUCCGGGGAUAACAGGCUGAUACCGCCCAAGAGUUCAUAUCGACGGCGGUGUUUGGCACCUCGAUGUCGGCUCAUCACAUCCUGGGGCUGAAGUAGGUCCCAAGGGUAUGGCUGUUCGCCAUUUAAAGUGGUACGCGAGCUGGGUUUAGAACGUCGUGAGACAGUUCGGUCCCUAUCUGCCGUGGGCGCUGGAGAACUGAGGGGGGCUGCUCCUAGUACGAGAGGACCGGAGUGGACGCAUCACUGGUGUUCGGGUUGUCAUGCCAAUGGCACUGCCCGGUAGCUAAAUGCGGAAGAGAUAAGUGCUGAAAGCAUCUAAGCACGAAACUUGCCCCGAGAUGA
rnacentral:rRNA from 1 species